GAUGAACGCUAGCGGCAGGCCUAAUACAUGCAAGUCGAACGGGAUUAAGGAGCUUGCUUCUUAUGAGAGUGGCGCACGGGUGCGUAACACGUAUGCAACCUACCUUCAACUGGGGGAUAGCCUUCCGAAAGGGAGAUUAAUACCGCAUAAUAUAAUUGAGCGGCAUCACUUGAUUAUCAAACGUCAGGGUUGAAGAUGGGCAUGCGUCCGAUUAGUUAGUUGGUGAGGUAACGGCUCACCAAGGCUACGAUCGGUAGGGGAUCUGAGAGGAUGGCCCCCACACUGGUACUGAGACACGGACCAGACUCCUACGGGAGGCAGCAGUAAGGAAUAUUGGUCAAUGGACGGAAGUCUGAACCAGCCAUGCCGCGUGCAGGAAGACGGUCCUCUGGAUUGUAAACUGCUUUUGUUAGGGAAGAAACUUCCGUACGUGUACGGGACUGACGGUACCUAAGAAUAAGGAUCGGCUAACUCCGUGCCAGCAGCCGCAGUAAGAC
rnacentral:rRNA from 1 species